CCAAAAAUAAUUUAAAUAAAAUAAUGAUUUUGUAAAUCAAAAAUGAACUAGAUUCUAUUGGGU
rnacentral:tRNA from 1 species